rnacentral:lncRNA from 1 species
GGCAGCUGGGCCUACCCCGGGAGGCGGAACACGCAGGCGGCACCAGCAGAGAUCUGAACGCAGGCGCCUGCAGAGCACCGGGCAGCGUCCGCACGACCCGGUGCUCCCGUGCUGCCCCGCGCGCUCCCGCCCCAGCCUCGUCACCUCGCGAGAUCUGGGCAUGAAGUCCCGCUCCACCGCGUGCCCCACGAUCCGGCGUGGCUGGACAGGAGUUGCUUCUGCCGCUGGAACACUGUGUCCCUCCGCCGCCAGGCUCGUGAGCUUCACGUGCCGCUCCUUAGCUGCGGUGAGCACCCUUGCAAAGGCAACAUUUCUGAUGGCGAGUCUGCUGGCUGCCGGCUUCCUUCUCCUUCGUGUCCUCCGCCUCCCCAGACCCGAGCACAGGCCUCCAGAUACGGCUCAGGCGGUAUGGACCGCCACCUAUUUUUCAGAUACUUGCAGAAUGGGCUUCUUCCAGAGGUCCGGUCCAGGGGCCCUUCCUCUGAACUCGGAGACCCCAGCACCACCUGAGCAGUUACUCCUCUCUAAAGAUGAAGAAACUGAGCCUAGAGACAUUAAGUGACAAACCCAAGGCUACUUAACUCAGAAGUGGUAGAGUUGAGUUUCAUCCCUGGGUCUUCUCCUCUGUUCUGUGUUGUUUCCCACUGCACACAGGCCUUCACGGACUGAAGUUCCAGGGGUCCCGGAUUUGCACGUUGGGGAUGAUAAAAGGCAGAGCUGAAACUUAUACCUGAUCACAUAGUGAGAACAGCUACUAUGAAGCUGGUCUCCAAACUUCUAACCAUCCUACUGGGAAAAUUAAAGGCAUCUUCUGAGGAUACAGGAAGAAAUUGAGUUUUAACCAUAGAGCAAUAAAAUCUGUUUCUGAGAAAUAAGAAAAUUCGAUGCCUUCCACAUACCUUGACCCAUCUUAGUAAUAAAGCUUGGUUUUUAUUCAACCAGAAGGAGAACAUCACUGCGGUUCUUCUUUUGCAGCGUUCCUCUACUUCCUCUAUCCCAAUAAAGGAGAAAUAUGCUUAUUCAGCAAGUCAGCUAUAAUUCUUUUUAAGGCAAAAAUUGUUCUUAGUAACCUGGUAGUGUUUCAUCUAGCUUAAGAGUCA